rnacentral:lncRNA from 1 species
GCUGCUGGGAUUACAGGUGUGGCCACCGCGCCCAGCACAGAUAUCAACUUUAAAAAGCGGCAGUGGACAUAUUAAUAACCAAUAAAGUAGACUUUGGAACAAAGAAAAUUAUUAGACGUGAAGAGAGAAAUUAUGCAAUGGUAAAAAGGAUCCAUCCACCAGAAAGACCACCUUAAGUGUGGACUGGCCAAAAAAAAUACGUGAAACCACAAAGGACAGAGUUAGCAGGACAGCAGAGGAACUCUCAGUUAUGGUUGAGAACUUUAACCCCCUCCAUCCAGCAAAGGACAGGACUAGCAGAGAGUCAGCGAGGCCGAGGACCCCAAAGCCCAGCCCACAGGCUCCCGACACACGCACCCCCUCCCAGCAGCCAUGGAAUGUGCGUGAUUUAGACGCCUGUGGGAAACUCACCAAGACAGGCCACCCUGGAAAACCAGCUGCCGAUGUCCUUUGAAAUGGCAGAGUGUGUCCUCUGAUCACAGUGGAGUCCCCUGAGAAGCCACAGCAGGAGAUACCCGGGAGGUGGCUGGGUACAGGGAGACAACCUGCCCUUUGAACCCAUGGUUCACAGGAAAAACCUCAGUCCACAGAGAAUAGAACCAAAGUGGAAAUACAGCACCAACUGAUAUCCAAGUCUCCACGGUGAGAACCAGGAACUAGAGGAGGGCGGGAAAUGAGAAGCCCUAAGCCGGCAGGGGGAGAAACCAACAGAGAGCAGGAAACAAGGAGACAGGAGGCAGGAGAUGGCAGGGAAAGGCAAUGAGAGAAAACCAGCUCCUAUGGAAAAAGGAAACCAACAGACAUCUAAUAACAGCAUCAGCAGUCAGGAGAGGACAGAUCUCCAAGGCCAGGAGGGGAACAGGGAGGUCCCCGUGGACUCCAGCCACCAGGAAGGUAAUAAGGGGAAGCUGCAGAGGAUCCUACACUCAGAAGUCCAGCGACUCAGCAGAACUGGUUCCUGGGCCAUCAAAGCUAGUUCCUGGGAGGGGCUGCAGAUGCCAAAACAGACAAAAGGCACAAUUGGAAUACUCCCAUAAUCUCUAAAGAAUUAAAUUAAUCAUUUAAAGGCUCCCAAAACCUAAAGGACAUCUCCAGGCCCAGAUAGUUGACAGGGGAAUUCUACCACUUAAAUAUGAAUUAACACCAGCUUGGUAUAAUUUCUCUGAUGCACAAUUUUAGACAAUCUUUCUCAUAAAAUAGGAGAAAUAGGAAUCCCUCCUAAUUUAUUUUGUGAGACCCGAUAACAAAAACAGACAGGUAAUGUCAAAAAGAAAAGAAAAAGAAAUUAGAGACCACAUCUCUUAUGAAUUUGGAUGUAAGAAUCCUGACAAAAUACUCACAGAAUGAAUCCAUCAAUAAACAAAAAGAAUCAGACACCAUGACCAAGCCAUGCUCGAUUCAGUAAGCAGGGCUGGUUAAGCCACAGGCAGUGAGGGGCUGGGGACAGUUCGGGGGGAUGCUCACACAGCAAGACCCAGGCCCGGGUUCCACCUCCAGCACUGCACAAAAGAAACACAGGAAAGUCCAAAACAAACCCCCAAACAAUCAGUCAACAGAUGCAAUCUACCAUAUCCACAAAUCAAAGACAAAAAAUCAUAUGAUCCUAUCAACUGGCUCAGAAAAAGCAUUUGACAAGAUCUAACACUCAUUAGCAAUUAAAAAAAAAAAAACUCUCAGAAAAGUAAGAAGAGAGGGAGUGGGCUGGACGUGGUGAAGAGCAACUCACAUUGGCUGAGAAGAGAUCCCAGAGGUGGACCCAUGUAAUCACAGGGGGAAACAAGAGCCCAGACCCCGACCUCACAGCUCAGCGAACUGGUAACUCCAUGCCGAUCACGGAUUUCAACAUCAAGUGUAAAACUAUACAAUCUUUAGAAAAGAAAAAAAGAAAGGAGAAAACCUUUGGGAUCUAGGGCUUCAGACUUGACACCAAAACUACAAUCCAUAGUAGGAAAAUUUAAUAAAUUGAACCCAAUCAAAAUGAAAAACCUUCUCUGCCAAAACCCAAGGGAAGAGGAUGGGAAGGGAAGCCACCCUGGAGGUGGGCACGAGCACCUUCCAAGCAGGAGGCGGAAUCCAGAGCAGGCAGGAGGCCUCCCACAUCAACAGCACUCAAACACGUCUCAAGGGCAUUAUGAUGUGGUGACCCCCGUGUGAGUUCAUUUAUGUGAAACGUUGGAAAUGGCAAAGUUUGAGAAAUGGAAGACAGACCAGUGGUUGGCAGAUGUGGGGCUGGGGUGGGAGGGAGGGGAUCCGUAAAGGGUGACCGGCAGAACUUGGGGUGAUGGUGACAGAGGUCCACACAUGGGACAAAACGUGCAGAGGAAACACACAGGUGUGUACACACAAGUCAGGGGACAUCAGGAGAGGACUGGUGGCGUGCGUCAGCCAGGCGCAGUGGCGCACACCGUUGAUGAGGGCCACAACUAAGUUAAGAUGGCGCCUGGCAGUAUGCUAGGAGGAGUGGUUUGUGAGCCAACGCCAGUGAGCCAUUAAGAUGAUGAGGAUUCGUUAAUGACUGACUGCUGUGUCUAGAUGAUGUCCAUUAAGUUAAGCUGUGUGUAAUUAGUUGGGUAUAUGCACCUCUGCGGUCUGGCAGAGAAGCGGCUCCUGCUACCUUGGGUGCCUGCUACUUUGAGUUCUCAGUUCCUACUGAGUUCACUCACAAUAAAGUAGUUCCUGCUUCAGCCUUCAAGUUGCUUGUCACCUCUCAGUUAUUUUGCCCAGCCGGACUACAGCUCACCGUGAUCUCAGCGGUUUGGGAGGCUGAGGCAGGAGGCUCGAAAGCUCCAGGGCAGCCUGGGCAACUUGAC